CCUACGGGUGGCAGCAGUGGGGAAUAUUGCACAAUGGGGGAAACCCUGAUGCAGCGACGCCGCGUGAACGAAGAAGGUAUUCGUAUCGUAAAGUUCUGUCCUAUGGGAAGAUAAUGACAGUACCAUAGAAGAAAGCUCCGGCUAAAUACGUGCCAGCAGCCGCGGUAAUACGUAUGGAGCGAGCGUUGUCCGGAAUUAUUGGGCGUAAAGGGUACGCAGGCGGUUUAAUAAGUCGAAUGUUAAAGAUCGGGGCUCAACCCCGUAAAGCAUUGGAAACUGAUAAACUUGAGUAGUGGAGAGGAAAGUGGAAUUCCUAGUGUAGUGGUGAAAUACGUAGAUAUUAGGAGGAAUACCAGUAGCGAAGGCGACUUUCUGGACACAAACUGACGCUGAGGUACGAAAGCGUGGGGAGCAAACAGGAUUAGAUACCCUGGUAGU
rnacentral:rRNA from 1 species